AUACGGAGGGGGUUAGCGUUGUUCGGAAUUACUGGGCGUAAAGCGCACGUAGGCGGAUUGGAAAGUAUGGGGUGAAAUCCCAGGGCUCAACCCUGGAACUGCCUCAUAAACUUCCAGUCUAGAGUUCGAGAGAGGUGAGUGGAAUUCCGAGUGUAGAGGUGAAAUUCGUAGAUAUUCGGAGGAACACCAGUGGCGAAGGCGGCUCACUGGCUCGAUACUGACGCUGAGGUGCGAAAGGGUGGGGAGCAAACAGGAUUAGAUACCCUGAUAGUCCACACCGUAAACGAUGAAUGCCAGUCGUCGGCAAGCAUGCUUGUCGGUGACACACCUAACGGAUUAAGCAUUCCGCCUGGGAAGUACGGUCGCAAGAUUAAA
rnacentral:rRNA from 1 species